GACAGAGGGUGCAAACGUUGUUCGGAAUUACUGGGCGUAAAGCGAGUGUAGGCGGUUUGGUAAGUCGGAUGUGAAAGCCCCGGGCUCAACCCGGGAAGUGCACUCGAUACUGCCAAGCUAGAGUAUCGGAGAGGUUGGUGGAAUUCUCGGUGUAGAGGUGAAAUUCGUAGAUAUCGGGAGGAAUACCGAUGGCGAAGGCAGGUCUCUGGGCUGACACUGACGCUCAUGCACGAAAGCGUGGGGAGCAAACAGG
rnacentral:rRNA from 1 species